rnacentral:rRNA from 1 species
GACAGAGGUGCCGAGCGUUAGGCGGAAUCACUGGGCUUAAAGCGUGUGUAGGCGGACUUCUAAGUCCCUUGUGAAAUCCCACGGCUUACCCGUGGAACUGCUGGGUAUACUGGUUGUCUUGAGCCACUUAGGGGCUACCGGAACAAAUGGUGGAGCGGUGAAAUGCGUAGAUAUCAUUUGGAACGCCAAUGGUGAAAACAGGUAGCUGGGAGUGUGCUGACGCUGAGACACGAAAGCCAGGGGAGCGAACGGG